UAGAUGGGCAAACAUGCGACCUCAUUGUCUCUGACGAAGGAUGAUUAUGUAACAGUCUCUUGUCCUCGGACAUCAUGGUUAUUUGCCAACUUUUGAUCCCAGUAAAGAAGCUGAAAUCACUUGCUGCGGUUCUGGGAAUCAGAUUUUUAGGACAACUGACUCUUCCUUGGGAGGCUUGAUGCAUUCGACCUGAUUACUGAUGUACUGGAAACUCUACAGAGACCCAGACACAAGCUGUAAUGCAGAUGUAAUUGUUGGAGCAGGAGUGGCCGUCUUGGACCAUGAGGUGGCAGCUGUGUGUUGAUAGGACCCUAGGUCCAUAAAACCACCAUACUAGACUUGGACUGCCUACAUUUCUGAGCAUGUGGUGGUCACUGAAGUACAAGACAGCCAAUGGGGCUCACCAUCCAGCAAGUUUCAGUGCACCCCUGUUGCCUCUUUCCCAGGAAGUUCCACCAGCAUCUCAACAGGUGACUUCCUAGUGAGUUUCACUGAGACUCCAGCAGUUGGUUUCCUGCUUGCCAUAUGUGACCUGUGGCACCUCAGCGAACUUCUCUGCAAUCCAGGACUACAGUCAUACUCUCUCUACUGAGGUCUGAAUCUCAGCCUUGGUGGUUGGGGCCUCUUCCAGAUUUCUUCCUUCCUUGGGUGUUCUGCCUUAGCCUAGAAGUAGUGGCUGCUCCCUAUAUCCACCAUUCCUGUAUUCUUUAUAGUUCUCUAUACUAUUUAGUACCUAAUCUCCUGUUGCUAGUUAGUAAUCCUUUAAACUUUCCCCCAAAUUUAUGUGGUGUCUGUCCCCUAACUUCCUAAAGGAAGCAACUCGAUAGAAAGCCAAUUCUCACUCUCUACUCCUCCUCGCCUUAGUGUAAGAUUAGCAUGUUCUGGUGGCCAAUCAUCAAGUCACUCCAGAAGCAGCAGGCUUAUAUACCAGAAUAAUUGUAGAUUGUUUACUUAUAAUCAGCAAAAAUCUGGGGAAUAUAUGUAGAAAUGAGAGUGUAGACCAAAAAAGGAAAAACACAACUUUAUAUUGGGCUGAAUUAAUCAAUAUGGGUCCAUUUACCAGAGACUUUGGAUCCAGUAGGCUAGCUGGAGAGGCUGAAAGUAGUUCUAAUACUUACUUGGUUGGUUGACUAAAACCUGGACUCAAUUGUGGCUCACCUUAAAUGAGGUUGAGAUGCAAGAAAUUCAUUUGUAAGGGUUCUAAAGACUUACGGACAUUGUAAUGCUUCAGUUGAUUCAUUUGUGUGUUUCCAAUAAUGAUGUAAUUUGAGAAUCCCCAGAAGAUAAUCCCUUCCCCAUGGCCUUGAGAAAUAAAUUGGUGAGGGGAGUGCUUCUCUUCUGUAGGCCAGAAUUACUGACAAAAGAUGAUAUGUGGAAAUGGGCUUCCUGAUAUCAAUGUGUUAGGAAUAUCUCAGAGUGACAGAGGCCAGGGGGCAUUACUUAACUACAAGAAGCAAGAUGAUCAUGGUUACCAGAGUGGAAAUCAGAAGGGUCUGAGCCACAGGGAUCUUUGGCAGUAGUGGAUUGCUUAUGGGAUCACCAUGUCUGAAGAUCCUGGGUAAUCACCUAAGGCCCUAUUUGACUUUUACAACAACAACAAAACUCCAUAUCUGGUUAACAGAGGUUAGGCGUGUGCCAGAAAAUAAAAAUACUGAGUUGAGGCCUCUCACCCAAUUCUAAAACCUGAGUCACCCAACUCCCAGACCAGAGCUCCUUGAACGAAGAGGAGGCUGUAUGCUCCAAGAAGGGACCCUACAAAGACUUCCCCAGUACCUCCUGGAUCUUCCUUCUAGCCCUCAGCAGAGAGACUCCAGUGUUUACCAUAGGAAAUGUGCACUGGCAAAAGGGAAACAUGCUCAUCCUUGGGAGAUUAUUGGACACUAGCUGUAAGAUGACACUAAUUCCUGAGUACCCUGAAAGUUACUAUGGCCCAUUGGCCAAUAUGGAGGUUGGACAGGGGUCCACCUUACAGCAAUGCCUAUGGGACACUGGACCCACCCUAGGUUGUUUCCUCCAUUCCUGAGUAUUGAUGAAAUAUAUUCUCAGUAACUGGCUGUGGCAGAUUGUAUUUUCCAAAGAUGGCUCCAAUGAUAGCUCCCAUCCCCAUGGUGUUCUAAAAUGAGACCUUGCGACUCCUCCAGUGAGGGGUAGAGUCUAUUUCUCCACCCCCUGGAAUCUGGGUGGGCCCUGUGACUGCUUUGAUCAAUAGAAUAGGGUGGAAGCGAUACCACGCCAGUUCUAUGUGUAACCCUUAACUGGUGGGCACUUUCUGCUUCCUGCCUCUUGGAAGAUAGCCGCCCCGUAAGAAGAGCAAUUGACCAAUUGGUUUGACCAAUGAAGAUGGGCUUUCCCAUAUAGAUAUAGAUAUGGCAGACAUUUUCCAUAAUUUGAAUGAGCUAAAGCUGCAGUUCCAAGCUUUUGAUGAAAAUAUAAUUAAAGCAUGUGGCAAUAUAAAAGUACUUUUAUAACUAAUAUUGUAGUGACAGAUAAAAGUAUUUGCUAAACUUUUCUAAGUAUAAAGGCUAUAUGAGAUGCCUGUUGGAGAAAAAGCAACAAGUAAAAUUAAGAGUUGUGUUGUAAGUCAUAGUAAUGUCUUUUUAGUAUACUUUCAGAAAUGGAGAAAGUAAAUGAUGCAAAGAGUAGAUGACAAUUUUUUUCUCAAGUCAUAUAGUUCUAAUCCUUUGCUUUCAACAAAAUUGAAAAACCUAUGAGCUGGGAGCUGAUACAUCAUUAAAAAUAAUUUUUGUUGAUAGAUCACUAUGUAACAUUUAGCACAUAAUUGGAAGGAGUUCAACAAAUUGAGCGACAUUGGUAUAGCAAAACUCCUCCAUUCCUAUAUACUUAUUUAUGUGAGCAAGAUUUCUCAGUGCUGACAGCAAUGAAAAAAAUAGGAAUAAAUUGUUGAAUUGUUGGUGAACCCUGCCUCAUUCUAGCAAUAAGUCAUAUUCAUCCAUGGAUACAUGAACUAAUUUUAAAAAAAUCAGCCCCCCCAUAUUACUAGAAAAUGCAACUUCAAUUAAAAUUUGGUUUUUCGUGUUUUAUGUUGUUUCAGUCAAUUGCACACAAAUAAUAACUUUAAUGACAACUUAAUCCAUAAGACUAUUUUUUAACACUUAGAAAUAAAAUGUAAAUUCUAAUUUAGAAAUAAAAUUUAAAAUUCCAGUACACACACACUAUAUAUAUAUACAUACAUAUAUGAAUAGCACAAAAACUUGAGGAAAUAUUCUUCCAAUAUUUCCAAACUUCUGUGACUCAGUAAAGCAGUUGCUCAUGUCACUGAUGGACAAAUGAAGUUCGGUGAGAUAUCUCCAUUUUCCACUUCCAUCUUAUUUGUUAAUGCAAACAGAAUUAUCAACCAAUAUCCAUGUCAGAACUACGUUCAUUAGUUAAUGAUUUGAGCAAGUUAUUGGCUGAAUUGGAUAGUAAUUAAGAUUUUAUUUGUAGUUUGGUUUUUUCAAAUCAUAGUUGAAU